rnacentral:rRNA from 1 species
UGCCAGACUCCUACGGGAGGCAGCAGUGGGGAAUAUUGGGCAAUGGGCGCAAGCCUGACCCAGCAACGCCGCGUGAAGGAAGAAGGCUUUCGGGUUGUAAACUUCUUUUCUUGGGGACGAAGAAAGUGACGGUACCCAAGGAAUAAGCCACGGCUAACUACGUGCCAGCAGCCGCGGUAAUACGUAGGUGGCAAGCGGUAUCCGGAUUUAUUGGGUGUAAAGGGCGUGUAGGCGGGAAUGCAAGUCAGAUGUGAAAACUAUGGGCUCAACCCAUAGCCUGCAUUUGAAACUGUAUUUCUUGAGUGCUGGAGAGGCAAUCGGAAUUCCGUGUGUAGCGGUGAAAUGCGUAGAUAUACGGAGGAACACCAGUGGCGACGGCGGCUUUCUGGACUGAAACUGACGCUGAGUCUCGAAAGCGUGGGGAGCGAACAGGAUUAGAUACCCUGGUA